CCUGGUGGCUCAGAGGUUAUAGCAUUUGCCUCCAAUGCAGGAGACCCAGGUUCGAUCCCUGGGUCAGGA
rfam:TPA: Bos taurus chromosome 1, whole genome shotgun sequence.